rnacentral:tRNA from 1 species
UCCCUGAUAGCUCAGUUGGUAAAGAAUCUGCCUGCAGUGCAGGAGACCCUGGUUCUAUUCCUGGGUAGGGAA